GCAUAUCCAAUAAGCGGAGGAAAAGAAACCAACAGGGAUUGCCUCAGUAACGGCGAGUGAAGCGGCAAAAGCUCAAAUUUGAAACCCUCGGGAUUGUAAUUUGAAGAUUUGGCAUUGGAGAAAGCUAACCCAAGUUACUUGGAAUAGUACGUCAUAGAGGGUGACAACCCCGUCUGGCUAACCGUUCUCCAUGUAUUGCCUUAUCAAAGAGUCGAGUUGUUUGGGAAUGCAGCUCAAAGUGGGUGGUAAACUCCAUCUAAAGCUAAAUACUGGUGAGAGACCGAUAGCGAACAAGUACUGUGAAGGAAAGGUGAAAAGAACUUUGAAAAGAGAGUGAAAUAGUAUGUGAAAUUGUUGAUAGGGAAGGAAAUGAGUGGAGAGUGGUUUAGGUUUCAGCCUUCUUUCGAGGGGGUGUACUACCAACGCCGAGUCAUUGUCAGCGAGACAGGGGUUAUAAACGGGUUGCCUUCUGGCUUCUCACCUAACCCCUCCACUGCCGACAACGACAUAAUCCACCCAUUUCACCCGUCUUGAAACACGGA
rnacentral:rRNA from 1 species